AGUCGAGCGAACAGACGAGGAGCUUGCUCCUCUGACGUUAGCGGCGGACGGGUGAGUAACACGUGGAUCACCUCCUUUCUGACUGGGAUAACUUCGGGAAACCGGAGCUAAUACCGGAUAAUAUAUUGAACCGCAUGGUUCAAUAGUGAAAGACGGUUUUGCUGUCACUUAUAGAUGGAUCCGCGCCGCAUUAGCUAGUUGGUAAGGUAACGGCUUACCAAGGCAACGAUGCGUAGCCGACCUGAGAGGGUGAUCGGCCACACUGGAACUGAGACACGGUCCAGACUCCUACGGGAGGCAGCAGUAGGGAAUCUUCCGCAAUGGGCGAAAGCCUGACGGAGCAACGCCGCGUGAGUGAUGAAGGUCUUCGGAUCGUAAAACUCUGUUAUUAGGGAAGAACAAAUGUGUAAGUAACUAUGCACGUCUUGACGGUACCUAAUCAGAAAGCCACGGCUAACUACGUGCCAGCAGCCGCGGUAAUACGUAGGUGGCAAGCGUUAUCCGGAAUUAUUGGGCGUAAAGCGCGCGUAGGCGGUUUUUUAAGUCUGAUGUGAAAGCCCACGGCUCAACCGUGGAGGGUCAUUGGAAACUGGAAAACUUGAGUGCAGAAGAGGAAAGUGGAAUUCCAUGUGUAGCGGUGAAAUGCGCAGAGAUAUGGAGGAACACCAGUGGCGAAGGCGACUUUCUGGUCUGUAACUGACGCUGAUGUGCGAAAGCGUGGGGAUCAAACAGGAUUAGAUACCCUGGUAGUCCACGCCGUAAACGAUGAGUGCUAAGUGUUAGGGGGUUUCCGCCCCUUAGUGCUGCAGCUAACGCAUUAAGCACUCCGCCUGGGGAGUACGACCGCAAGGUUGAAACUCAAAGGAAUUGACGGGGACCCGCACAGCGGUGGAACAUGUGGUUUA
rnacentral:rRNA from 1 species